GACGAACGCUGGCGGCGUGCCUAAUACAUGCAAGUAGAACGCUGAAGAGAGGAGCUUGCUCUUCUUGGAUGAGUUGCGAACGGGUGAGUAACGCGUAGGUAACCUGCCUUGUAGCGGGGGAUAACUAUUGGAAACGAUAGCUAAUACCGCAUAACAAUGGAUGACACAUGUCAUUUAUUUGAAAGGGGCAAUCGCUCCACUACAAGAUGGACCUGCGUUGUAUUAGCUAGUAGGUGAGGUAAUGGCUCACCUAGGCGACGAUACAUAGCCGACCUGAGAGGGUGAGCGGCCACACUGGGACUGAGAAACGGCCCAGACUCCUACGGGAGGCAGCAGUAGGGAAUCUUCGGCAAUGGGGGCAACCCUGACCGAGCAACGCCGCGUGAGUGAAGAAGGGUUUCGGAUCGUAAAGCUCUGUUGUAAGUCAAGAACGGGUGUGAGAGUGGAAAGUUCACACUGUGACGGUAGCUUACCAGAAAGGGACGGCUAACUACGUG
rnacentral:rRNA from 1 species